rnacentral:rRNA from 1 species
CCUACGGGAGGCAGCAGUGGGGAAUAUUGGGCAAUGGCCGAAAGGCUGACCCAGCGACGCCGCGUGUGGGAGGAAGCCCUUCGGGGUGUAAACCACUGUCAGGAGGGACGAAAGAGUCGGGAGUGAAUAAUUCUCGGCAGUGACGGUACCUUCAAAGGAAGCACCGGCUAACUCUGUGCCAGCAGCCGCGGUAAUACAGAGGGUGCAAGCGUUGUUCGGAAUUACUGGGCGUAAAGCGCGCGCAGGCGGAUCCUGUAAGUCGGAAGUGAAAUUUCACGGCUCAACCGUGAAGCUGCUUCUGAUACUGCGGAUCUGGGGACCGGUAGAGGCUGGUGGAAUUGCUGGUGUAGCGGUGGAAUGCGUAGAGAUCAGCAAGAACACCCGUGGCGAAGGCGGCCAGCUGGGCCGGGUCCGACGCUGAGGCGCGAAAGCGUGGGGAG